rnacentral:rRNA from 1 species
CAGUCGCCGCGGUAAUACGUAGGUCCCGAGCGUUGUCCGGAUUUAUUGGGCGUAAAGCGAGCGCAGGCGGUUAGAUAAGUCUGAAGUUAAAGGCUGUGGCUUAACCAUAGUACGCUUUGGAAACUGUUUAACUUGAGUACAAGAGGGGAGAGUGGAAUUCCAUGUGUAGCGGUGAAAUGCGUAGAUAUAUGGAGGAACACCGGUGGCGAAAGCGGCUCUCUGGCUUGUAACUGACGCUGAGGCUCGAAAGCGUAGGGAGCAAACAGGAUUAGAUACCCCCGUAGUCCCUGUCUCUUAUACA